rnacentral:rRNA from 1 species
GAAGCUUGCUUUUGACUAGUGGCGGACGGGUGAGUAACGCGUGAGUAACCUGCCUCUGAGAGGGGAAUAACGUUCUGAAAAAGAACGCUAAUACCGCAUAACGUAUCGAAGCCGCAUGACUUUGAUACCAAAGAUUUUAUCGCUCGGAGAUGGACUCGCGUCCGAUUAGUUAGCUGGUGAGGUAACGGCUCACCAAGACCGCGAUCGGUAGCCGGACUGAGAGGUUGAUCGGCCACAUUGGGACUGAGACACGGCCCAGACUCCUACGGGAGGCAGCAGUGGGGGAUAUUGCGCAAUGGGGGCAACCCUGACGCCAGCAACGCCGCGUGAAGGAUGAAGGUUUUCGGAUUGUAAACUUCUUUUAUCAGAGACGAAAUCUGACGGUACCUGAUGAAUAAGCUCCGGCUAACUACGUGCCAGCAGCCGC